rnacentral:rRNA from 1 species
GACGAACGCUGGCGGCGUGCUUCAUACAUGCAAGUCGAACGAGGUUCAUCCGGUAGCAAUACUGGUGAAGGCCUAGUGGCGAACGGGUGAGUAACACGUGAGGAACCUGCCCCGAAGACAGGGAUAACAGCGGGAAACCGCUGCUAAUACCAGAUGCCCCCACCGGAUCGCAUGGUCUGGUGAGGAAAUGCCUGAUUUAUUUCAUACGCUUCGGGAGGGCCUCGCGGCCUAUCAGCUUGUUGGUGGGGUAAUGGCCUACCAAGGCGACGACGGGUAG